rnacentral:rRNA from 1 species
AUUGAACGCUGGCGGCAGGCCUAACACAUACAAGUCGAACGAGUGGCGGACGGGUGAGUAAUGUCUGGGAAACUGCCCGAUGGAGGGGGAUAACUACUGGAAACGGUAGCUAAUACCGCAUACCAUCGGAUGUGCACAGAUGGGAUUAGCUAGGAGGUGGGGUAACGGAUCACCUAGGCGACGAUCCCUAGCUGGUCUGAGAGGAUGACCGGCCACACUGGAAUUGAGACACGGUCCAGCCUCCGACGGGCGGCAGCAGUGGGGAAUAUUGCACAAUGGGCGCAAGCCUGAUGCAGCCAUGCCGCGUGUAUGAAGAAGGCCUUCGGGUUGUAAAGUACUUUCAGCGAGGAGGCGUUACUCGCAGAAGAAGCACCGGCUAACUCCGUGCCAGCCGCCGCGGUAAUAC